rnacentral:rRNA from 1 species
UACGUAGGCAGCGAGCGUUGUUCGGAGUUACUGGGCGUAAAGGGUGUGUAGGCGGUUGUUUUAAGUUUGGUGUGAAAUCUCCCGGCUCAACUGGGAGGGUGCGCCGAAUACUGAAUGACUUCGAGUACGGGAGAGGAGAGUGGAAUUCCUGGUGUAGCGGUGAAAUGCGUAGAUAUCAGGAGGAACACCUGCGGUGUAGACGGCUUUCUGGACCAUUGUUGACGCUGAGACACGAAAGCGUGGGUAGCAAACAGG